rnacentral:rRNA from 1 species
AGCAGCCGCGGUAAUUCCAGCUCCAAUAGCGUAUAUUAAAGUUGUUGCAGUUAAAAAGCUCGUAGUUGAAUUUCGGAGUUUGUCGGUUGGUCGGGCUUCAUUGUCCGCACUGACCUGAUGGAUUCCUACCUUCUGAAUAACCAGCAUGCUAUUAAGUUAGUGCGUUGGGGAAGCAGAGCUAUUACCUUGAAAAAUUAGAGUGCUUAAAGCAGGCUUAUGCUUGAAUAGAUUAGCAUGGAAUAAUAAAAUAGGACGGCAUGGUUCUAUUUUGUUGGUUUCUAGGAUCACCGUAAUGAUUAAUAGGGAUAGUUGGGGGCAUUAGUAUUCAAUUGUCAGAGGUGAAAUUCUUGGAUUUAUUGAAGACUAACUUCUGCGAAAGCAUUUGCCAAGGAUGUUUUCAUUAAUCAAGAACGAAAGUUAGGGGAUCGAAGACGAUCAGAUACCGUCGUAGUCUUAACCAUAAACUAUGC